GUGUUCGAUUAAGCCAUGCGAGUUAAAUGUUCUUCGUGAACAUAGCAGACUGCUCAGUAACACGUGGAUAACCUGCCCUUAGGACUGGCAUAACCCCGGGAAACUGGGGAUAAUUCCGGAUAGAUCAUAAAUGCUGGAAUGCUUUAUGAUUGAAAGGUUUCGACCGCCUUAGGAUGGAUCUGCGGCCUAUCAGGUUGUAGUGGGUGUAAUGUACCUACUAGCCUACGACGGGUACGGGUUGUGGAAGCAAGAGCCCGGAGAUGGAUUCUGAGACAUGAAUCCAGGCCCUACGGGGCGCAGCAGGCGCGAAAACUUUACAAUGCGGGAAACCGUGAUAAGGGAACACUGAGUGCUAGCAUUUAUGUUAGCUGUCCACAUGUGUAAAUAGCAUGUGAUAGCAAGGGCUGGGCAAGACCGGUGCCAGCCGCCGCGGUAACACCGGCAGCCCGAGUGGUGAUCACUAUUAUUGGGUCUAAAGGGUCCGUAGCCGGUUUAAUCAGUCUUCUGGGAAAUCUAAUCGCUUAACUAUUAGGCUUCCAGGGGAUACUGUUAGACUUGGGACCGGGAGAGGUAAGAGGUACUGCAGGGGUAGGAGUGAAAUCUUGUAAUCCCUGUGAGACCACCAGUGGCGAAGGCGUCUUACCAGAACGGGUCCGACGGUGAGGGACGAAAGCUGGGGGCACGAACCGGAUUAGAUACCCGGGUAGUCCCAGCUGUAAACGAUGCUCGUUAGGUGUCAGGAACGGUGCGACUGUUUCUGGUGCCGAAGGGAAGCCGUGAAACGAGCCACCUGGGGAAGUACGGCCGCAAGG
rnacentral:rRNA from 1 species